rnacentral:rRNA from 1 species
GACGAACGCUGGCGGCGUGCUUAACACAUGCAAGUCGAGCGGAAAGGCCACUUCGGUGGUACUCGAGCGGCGAACGGGUGAGUAACACGUGAGUAAUCUGCCCCUGGCUUUGGGAUAGCCACCGGAAACGGUGAUUAAUACCGGAUACGACAACUUCUUGCAUGAGAUGGUUGUGGAAAGUUUUUCGGCCAGGGAUGUGCUCGCGGCCUAUCAGCUUGAUGGUGAGGUAAUGGCUCACCAUGGCUUCGACGGGUAGCCGGCCUGAGAGGGUGACCGGUCACACUGGGACUGAGACACGGCCCAGACUCCUACGGGAGGCAGCAGUGGGGAAUAUUGGACAAUGGGCGGAAGCCUGAUCCAGCAACGCCGCGUGAGGGAUGACGGCCUUCGGGUUGUAAACCUCUUUCAGUAGGGACGAAGCGCAAGUGACGGUACCUACAGAAGAAGCACCGGCCAACUACGUGCCAGCAGCCGCGGUAAUACGUAGGGUGCAAGCGUUGUCCGGAAUUAUUGGGCGUAAAGGGCUCGUAGGCGGUCUGUCACGUCGGGAGUGAAAACUCGGGGCUUAACCCCGAGCCUGCUUCCGAUACGGGCAGACUAGAGGUAUGCAGGGGAGAAUGGAAUUCCUGGUGUAGCGGUGAAAUGCGCAGAUAUCAGAGGAACACCGGUGGCGAANGCGGUUCUCUGGGCNUUACCUGACGCUGAGGAGCGAAAGUGUGGGGAGCGAACAGGAUUAGAUACCCUGGUAGUCCACACCGUAAACGUUGGGCGCUAGGUGUGGGACUCAUUCCACGAGUUCCGUGCCGCAGCUAACGCAUUAAGCGCCCCGCCUGGGGAGUAAGACCGCAAGGCUAA